rnacentral:rRNA from 1 species
AGAUUGAACGCUGGCGGCAGGCCUAACACAUGCAAGUCGAGCGGUAGAGAGGUGCUUGCAUCUCUUGAGAGCGGCGGACGGGUGAGUAAUGCCUAGGAAUCUGCCUAGUGGGUGGGGGAUAACGUUCGGAAACGGACGCUAAUACCGCAUACGUCCUACGGGAGAAAGCGGGGGACCUUCGGGCCUCGCGCCAUUAGAUGAGCCUAGGUCGGAUUAGCUAGUUGGUGAGGUAAUGGCUCACCAAGGCGACGAUCCGUAACUGGUCUGAGAGGAUGAUCAGUCACACUGGAACUGAGAACACGGUCCAGACUCCGUACGGAGGCAG